rnacentral:rRNA from 1 species
AUGAACGCUGGCGGCGUGCCUAACACAUGCAAGUCGAACGGAGAUUACGGACGGAAGUUUUCGGAUGGAAGACUGUAAUUCUUAGUGGCGGACGGGUGAGUAACGCGUGGGCAACCUGCCCUAUACAGGGGGAUAGCAGCUGGAAACGGCUGGUAAGACCGCAUAAGUCGGUUAAAUCGCAUGAUUUGAUCGGGAAAUGAGCAAUCAGGUAUAGGAUGGGCCCGCGUCCGAUUAGCCAGUUGGCAGGGUAAAAGCCUACCAAAGCGACGAUCGGUAGCCGGACUGAGAGGUCGGACGGCCACAUUGGGACUGAGACACGGCCCAAACUCCUACGGGAGGCAGCAGUGGGGGAUAUUGCACAAUGGAGGAAACUCUGAUGCAGCGACGCCGCGUGAGUGAAGAAGUAUUUCGGUAUGUAAAGCUCUAUCAGCAGGGAAGAUGAUGACGGUACCUGACUAAGAAGCCCCGGCUAACUACGUG